rnacentral:lncRNA from 1 species
CAGCUGGUAAACGCAUUUAGAAGCAAUGAAAUCAGGCUUCACAAAUAAUAAUGGGCAUCAUGGUUAAGUGGAAGGGGAAGCACUUGAUCCUAAGACAAACUUCCCCGUGUCUCAGUUCUGCUGAGAAGGAAUUUGGGGCAGAAGACAGAAAUGGAAAGAUACCCAAAUGCUGGUAGCUAGCAAGCUCCCAGCUGCUUCCAGGGUUCAGCAAGGCCUUACCCAGCCAGAGAGUCCCUCACACGCAGGGCUCCAAGCACCUGCCUGCCCUGGUCCAUCUCUACAAAUGCCCCUGCACCUUCCUUCCGGGCAUUCCAGCCAAGAGGUCAGCCACCUGCUGUCCCCAGACCCAGGGUGUGUACCCUGCUGCAAACACAGCACAUGAGCCCCUCCUGUUCCCCUUCGCCUGCAUCGACUCAAAUCCAAAUGUCUGUCUAUAACCGCUAACCCACAAUCCGGGAGAAAUACAUGCAGAAUUAUUGUUUCCGUGAUGGGGGAGGGGACGGGGAGGGUGGGGGAGGGGUGCCGGGCUCUUAAAAUGCUGUGCCACCAACGUCACAGCCGCCAUCAUGAUGUGUACGCGUGUUUACAAGAAACGUUCCGCAUCCAUCCGCCCAGCUCUGCAUCCGACUGGCGACUUUACACCUGCUUCCUACAAAGACAGAGCCUUUGCCAGCAAGCCCAUGCUUACCAAUAAUCCGAAGAGGAAUCUUUUCAUUCUCCUCCCCUUUUUAAAAAGAAAGAAAGAAAAAAGAAAAAAUACAACGGCGACCCAGGUACUGGCGGCAGAAAGAACGGCGAGGACGAGUCCGCGCGCGGCGAGGAAGCGGCGAGCCAACCUCCCCGUGCAACAGCG